UGGGGAAGUAUUGCACAAUGGGGGAAACCCGUGAUGCAGCGACGCCGCGUGAGUGAAGAAGUACCUCGUAUGUAAAGCUCUGUCAGCAGGGAAGAAAGAAAUGACGGUACCUGACCAAGAAGCACCGGCUAAAU
rnacentral:rRNA from 1 species